UGGGGAAUAUUGCACAAUGGGCGAAAGCCUGAUGCAGCGACGCCGCGUGAACGAAGAAGUAUUUCGGUAUGUAAAGUUCUAUCAGCAGGGAAGAAGAAAUGACGGUACCUGACUAAGAAGCUCCGGCUAAAUACGUGCCAGCAGCCGCGGUAAUACGUAUGGAGCAAGCGUUAUCCGGAUUUACUGGGUGUAAAGGGAGCGUAGGCGGUCUUAUAAGUCUGAUGUGAAAGCCCGGGGCUCAACCCCGGGACUGCAUUGGAAACUGCCCGUCUUGAGUGCCGGAGAGGUGAGCGGAAUUCCUAGUGUAGCGGUGAAAUGCGUAGAUAUUAGGAGGAACACCAGUGGCGAAGGCGGCUUACUGGACGGUAACUGACGUUGAGGCUCGAAAGCAUGGGUAGCAAACAGGAUUAGAUACCCUGGUAGU
rnacentral:rRNA from 1 species